UACGGAGGGUGCUAGCGUUGUUCGGAAUCACUGGGCGUAAAGGGCGCGUAGGCGGCUUGGCAAGUGGAAGGUGAAAUCCCUCGGCUUAACCGAGGAACUGCCCUCCAAACUGCUUCGCUUGAGACCGGGAGAGGUGAGUGGAAUUCCCAGUGUAGCGGUGAAAUGCGUAGAUAUUGGGAGGAACACCAGUGGCGAAGGCGGCUCACUGGACCGGUACUGACGCUGAUGCGCGAAAGCGUGGGGAGCAAACGGG
rnacentral:rRNA from 1 species